GGGCAUGGCAACCCACUUCAGUUCUUGCCUGGAGAAUCCCAUGAACAAAGGAGCCUGGCAGACCAUGGUCUGUAGGAUCACAAAGAGUCAGACAUGACUGAAGCAAUUUAGCAUGCAUGCAUGUUACCCAGAGUAAGGAUAUAAUUAUUGUGUAACAGUUUAAAUCAGAGCAUAGCCUGUGUCAUUUAUCAAACAUUAUUCUAGUGACAAAAGAGAUACAAGUUUCAAUGCAAACACAUGGCACAGAAUUUGCUCAUUAGUAGGAAGGUUGGUUUAUAGGUAAUAUAUCAGAUUUAAUCUGGUUUUCAGGUUAAAAUAUGUAAUAAAGCUUUAACUGCUUUUCUUCCAAGGUAAGCUUUACAAUAAGGCACUCUAUCCCUGAAAACUUCAAAUGGUACAUAAUGACAGUUGGCAGUUCAUUCAUUUUACUGUGUAUAAUUAUCUAUUCUGUCCCUGGCCUUUAAAAGACAGGUCAUUGUUUUGGGUUGGAUUAUCCCAGAUGCAGACCUGAAGUUAAGGAUCUGAGUGCUAGUGAUUUAUAAAGUAGAUGCUCCUAGAAAAAGGAUUAGAGUGGUAAGGAUGGGUGAGAAGCAGGUAUCAAAGGGGGAUAAGCUAAGAAAGGGUGAAAUUUCAGAGGAAGUUUCAGUCUCAGCUUGAUCCCACAAGGAGCUAUAUCACAGAAUAUCUGUCCCCUGGAGGCAAGGGAACACCAGGCUGCGGCCCUUGAGUAUGGCUGGGAGACUGACUCUGUGGCAGGAGGAGAAGGAGCAAGAGAAUGGUCAUGCCCCAGGUCGGAGUGAAUCCCUGGAACUGGGUGCCAAGUGAGGGUCUUUGGCUUUGAGAAGAAGGAAGUCAAAGGUAAUCCAAGGUAAAAUGAAAGUGAGUUUAUUGAAAGGCAGAUGCACU
rnacentral:lncRNA from 1 species